GCCUGGAUAACUCAGUUGGUGAAGCAGAGGACUAGAAAUCCGUGUGUCACCAGUGCAAAUCUGGUUCCUGGCA